GAGGGAUAUUGGGCAAUGGGGGAAACCCUGACCCAGCAACGCCGCGUGAGGGAUGACGGUUUUCGGAUUGUAAACCUCUGUCCUCUGUGAAGAUAGUGACGGUAGCAGAGGAGGAAGCUCCGGCUAACUACGUGCCAGCAGCCGCGGUAAUACGUAGGGAGCAAGCGUUGUCCGGAUUUACUGGGUGUAAAGGGUGCGUAGGCGGAUUGGCAAGUCAGAAGUGAAAUCCAUGGGCUUAACCCAUGAACUGCUUUUGAAACUGUUAGUCUUGAGUGAAGUAGAGGUAGGCGGAAUUCCCGGUGUAGCGGUGAAAUGCGUAGAGAUCGGGAGGAACACCAGUGGCGAAGGCGGCCUACUGGGCUUUAACUGACGCUGAGGCACGAAAGUGUGGGUAGCAAACAGGAUUAGAUACCCUGGUAGUCCACACUGUAAACGAUGAUUACUAGGUGUGGGGGGUCUAACCCCCUCCGUGCCGGAGUUAACACAAUAAGUAAUCCACCUGGGGAGUACGACCGCAAGGUUGAAACUCAAAGGAAUUGACGGGGGCCCGCACAAGCAGUGGAGUAUGUGGUUUAAUUCGACGCAACGCGAAGAACCUUACCAGGUCUUGACAUCCAACUAACGAAGCAGAGAUGCAUUAGGUGCCCUUCGGGGAAAGUUGAGACAGGUGGUGCAUGGUUGUCGUCAGCUCGUGUCGUGAGAUGUUGGGUUAAGUCCCGCAACGAGCGCAACCCUUGUGAUUAGUUGCUACGCAAGAGCACUCUAAUCAGACUGCCGUUGACAAAACGGAGGAAGGUGGGGACGACGUCAAAUCAUCAUGCCCUUUAUGACCUGGGCUACACACGUACUACAAUGGUCGUUAACAGAGGGAAGCAAUACCGCGAGGUGGAGCAAAACCCUAAAAACGGUCUCAGUUCAGAUUGUAGGCUGCAACUCGCCUACAUGAAGUUGGAAUUGCUAGUAAUCGCGGAUCAGAAUGCCGCGGUGAAUACGUUCCCG
rnacentral:rRNA from 1 species